rnacentral:rRNA from 1 species
UACGAAGGGGGCUAGCGUUGUUCGGAUUUACUGGGCGUAAAGCGCACGUAGGCGGACUAUUAAGUCAGGGGUGAAAUCCCGGGGCUCAACCCCGGAACUGCCUUUGAUACUGAAGAUCUUGAGUUCGGGAGAGGUGAGUGGAACUGCGAGUGUAGAGGUGAAAUUCGUAGAUAUUCGCAAGAACACCAGUGGCGAAGGCGGCUCACUGGCCCGGUACUGACGCUGAGGCGCGAAAGCGUGGGGAGCAAACAGGG